GCACAAGCGGUGGAGCAUGUGGUUUAAUUCGAAGCAACGCGAAGACCUUACCAGGUCUUGACAUCCCGAUGCUAUUCUAGAGAUAGAAAGUUACUUCGGUACAUCGGUGACAGGUGGUGCAUGGUUGUCGUCAGCUCGUGUCGUGAGAUGUUGGGUUAGGUCCCGCAACGAGCGCAACCCCUAUUGUUAGUUGCCAUCAUUCAGUUGGGCACUCUAGCGAGACUGCCGGUAAUAAACCGGAGGAAGGUGGGAUGACGUCAAAUCAUCAUGCCCCUUAUGACCUGGGCUACACACGUGCUACAAUGGUUGGUACAACGAGUUGCGAGUCGGUGACGGCGAGCUAAUCUCUUAAAGCCAAUCUCAGUUCGGAUUGUAGGCUGCAACUCGCCUACAUGAAGUCGGAAUCGCUAGUAAUCGCGGAUCAGCACGCCGCGGUGAAUACGUUCCCGGGCCUU
rnacentral:rRNA from 1 species